CAGCGAGACUCCAUCUCAAAAAAUAAAAUAAAAUAAAACUAAAAAUAAUAUGGAAAAGUAGGUCCAUUCUGUCUUCCCAGAAGUGUAAGCCCUGUGCUGUUGUUAUUUUUACAUGUCCUAAUUUCCUACUAGGCUCUUGAGUAAAUGUAGACUCAGAGAGGUUAAAUAAUUUGUUCAAUAUUAUACUGCCAGUGAUUCAGCAAGAACUGGAUACAAGGCAUUUGUCAAAAGCUCACCCUCUUUUUCAUGACCCUAUACUGCUAAAUAAAUGUUUACUGGAAGAAUGAACCAAUGAAAGCAAGUUCCCUUCCUUAGUCACAAUAGUUCUGUGAUUUUUGUUUUAAAACUCAGGAUAUAGUGAUGUAUUUCUCGUUUUUUAUCAUGAUCAAAAAUGCUUGAAGUCUAAGAGCUUAGAAACCACUAGUCAUUGCCAUUUAGGAAAUUUCCUAGAAUCCAACUGUGUGGUUUCUGCCAAUAAUUUAGGUUUUAUGAACACUGGUUGUACAGUAUCGGGCUCUGCUCACCUCUCAACCUGUAGACUGAGACUCACGUGAAGUUAUCAGGAGAACUAAAUAAAGAAAACUGCAGGGGACUGUAAGUGAAAAUAUGAGAGACAAACUAAUCCUCAACACUCUUUAAUAUAGGGCUUUCCAGAUGAAAGCAGUAACAAAUGCUGUAAGUGUGCAAGUUCCUGCGAUGGUUGAUCUUACGUGUCAAUCUGGCCAGGCUAUGGUGCCUAGUUGUGUAGUCAAACAGUAGUCUAGAUGUUGCUGUGAAGACUCUUUAAAAUGUGAUUAACAUUUAUAAUCACUGGACUUUUAGUAAAGCUCAUAAAUGUCCAUGGUGUGGUGAGCCUCAUCUAAUCAGUUGAAGGCCAUAAGAGCAAAAUCUGAUUCCUCAAAGAAGAAGGAAUUUUGCCUGAAUUUGCAGCCUGCAGGCCUACCCUGUGGAUUUAGGACAUGCCAGUCUCCACAGUACUGUGGUGUGUGUGUUGCCAUAUAUGUAUCUGUGUGUGUGUGUGUGUGUGCACAUCUGUAUGGAGAACCCUAAUACAGCACCUUACACAGCACACAGUACCUGGUCUGUAAGAACAAGACAAUAAAUUUUAGCUGAAUCUGCAUCAGCUUUCUGUUUAUACUGCUUUAGAAGUAUCCACUCAUUAUUUGAAGAAGUGUGUGUUAGAUGCUUGCCUUAGGCAGAACAUUAUAUGUUCUCCAAAGGUAUAAAAUUGUUUUCUUUCCUUAAGUAGUUUCCAACUUUUUGUUUCCAAGGCAACAAAAAACAUUGUCUCAUUCAGUUUUCUGUUGCUAUAAUGGAAUACCAGAGACUGGGUAAUUUACAAAGAAUAGAAGUUUACUGGCUCCAGGUUCUAGAGGCUGGGAACACCAAGGGCAUGGCAGCAGCAUCUGGUGGGGUUCUGUGCUACAUUACCCCAUGGUGGAAGGGCAGAGGGCAGAGGGCAGAAGAGGAAAGGCAGAAGAGAAAGACAGCAUGGGAGACAGCAAGAAAAUGGAGGCCAAAACUUAUCCUUUUAUCAGGAAUCCACUCCCACACAUGUUUGUAAACAAUGCCAUCAGGAAUAAAAGUGUUUGAAGCUGAAGCUGGGUCUUCCAUCCAAAUGUGGAAAGCGUGCCAGAGGACUGUCUUUCCCAUUCCCGCCCCACCUGCACAGCCAUAGACAAAGCUCAGCUCCGGGAUAAGGUAAAUGUCAAGAGCCACACAGCAGCAUGCCUUCCCUUCAAGACAGAACAAAGGGUGGUUUUCUUGGCCAACCUACUGCACAGGAGGAAGCCAAGCAACACCAUUGAUUUAAGCCCCAAGGAAAACCUAAAAUCUUUGGCCACUUCAGGUUGUAAAUCUGGCAUCAGAUGUCAGAAACUUGUGUGAAAACAGAGACUACUAGGUUUUACUAUGGCUUGAAAGGAAUAACCCAAAGAAAAGCCUGACCCCAAAAAAGGACUGUCCCAGGCUCAGGGCCCCACAGCGACCACAUGCCUGGGCAGGGAACUGCCGGGAAGGUAGCCCAGAAUGGUCACAUCUCACUCUGCAGCCCCCUCACCGGACAAGGACACCUCCUGUCAGGUUCCGAGUUCUAGUCAUUCUUCCUUGUCUCUGAGAGCUGUCCAUCUUUUCAUACCAUUUCUAUUGCCACCCGUGGUUCAGCCUGAGGUGCCUCGGAGGACUCACUGGCCAGGCCCCAUGGGCACUCUACACACAUGAUUGAGCAAGACCUCUAAAUGAGACCACAAAGCAGGCCCAUUUCCUUCAGGUGACUGACAUGGGAACUCAGGCUGAGAGCAACUGACCAAGCAGACACAGCUAAAAAGAUGGAGCCAGGAUUCCAGCCAGGAUCUGCCUGACUUUAAGUAAUAUGUGUUUCCCACUAAACCCAUGUCAUGGCUUUCCCCAGCUCUCGAAGCUUUGAUGGCCCCACUGCCUACUGAAUUCAGUCUUAGCUGCCAAUCCAGGGGCCAAGCCCUCCGUGCCCUGCCCUGCCCUACUCUUCAGCCUUGCCCAGCUUUUCCCCUCCAUGAACAUCCUCAAGUCCCCCCCACACUCAAGACUCCCCAGGAGUGUCCCUUUGCUCAUCUGCAAUGUCCUUACUACCAGCCCAUCUGCCCUUUCCAAGUCCUGCUCACUCAUCAAUACUUCUGUGACCCCCUGCCGUGAGAACACAUUCUCUGCUAAACCCCUGCUCUUCCAGCGCACUUUCCUCAGAGUUAUGUACAGAGAGGGUCUCCCCCUGCUAGACUGAGCCACCUCGGAGGAAGAGCCUGUGCCUGGAUUUUCACAUCUUUGUAUGUCCUUCCAUCCUUAGCAAAGGCACCUGGAAUGUAAUCAAAAUCACCAAAUAUGUGUUGGAUAGAUGAAUAGGUGGAUGGAUUAUAAAUAAAUAAAGUAUUUAUCUAGGUUGUUACCUCUCA
rnacentral:lncRNA from 1 species